rnacentral:rRNA from 1 species
UACAGAGGUGGCAAGCGUUGUUCGGAAUUACUGGGCGUAAAGGGCGCGUAGGCGGUCCUGUAAGUCUUGUGUGAAAUCCCUCGGCUUAACUGAGGAACUGCACGAGAUACUGCGAGACUUGAGUUCGGGAGAGGAAAGCGGAAUUCCGGGUGUAGCGGUGAAAUGCGUAGAUAUCCGGAGGAACACCGGUGGCGAAGGCGGCUUUCUGGACCGACACUGACGCUGAGGCGCGAAAGCGUGGGGAGCAAACAGG